AAUAUAAUUGCUGUUAUAGUUUCCGCUUGGAAGAAAGAUUCACAUCAAAUUGACUGGUCAAGGAAAUGGGACACUGACUGUUGGUACGAUCUUCGUUGGAGAAGGAAAAGGGAUGUUCCAGAUACAGAAAAUCGUCAAACCAUUUAUUACAAAGUUCGUUUCUGGGUGGAGUUAGUGGAACCGAAAAUGAUGUCUCCCUCACAGCAUUUGUGACACAAGAAUUGCAUCGUUCCUUGGCGGCCUUUCAACAGAAGAAUAUUCAGAGAUUUCACGAGUGUUGGUCGAGUGGAUCACAGAAAGUCUGGCAACAAAAAAGCUGCAAUGGUUACCUCCUCACUGCUUCCAACUCCUCCUCUUUCUCAGCUGGUGCCCUAUCACUGGCAGCGACAGCGUACCCUCAUGAUGCCAAGGUUGGAGACUAUCAAGAAUCAUGAUGACACCGGCCCUUCUCUGUACUGCAGGACUGCCCCAGAGUGCUCCAGGCAGCCGAAACAACAUUGAACUACUCCAGUGGUCUGCACCAUUACAUUUCCUGUGGUACUUUAUGCAGCCCCUCUGAGUGUAUAAUACACACUCCCAUAUGGACCACGUCAUCAAACAAAGGCUCUUGUCACCUCCUCAUUACUUCAAGUUGUUCAAAUGAGGAUGGCAGGGCAGAAUAUUGAAGAAUUAUUACAAAGUCUUCUGUUCAGUAUCCUGCUGCUCUCUGACAAGGAAAACUGAAAUGUACUUGAUUUUCAUGUAAUUUUGAUUCCCACUACAGGUCCUUGUGGGAACAGGAAAAAUGACAAGCUGGAAAAUUUUGCAAGUAAUCUUUGGGCCAGCCUGGAAUCUUCCCAUCCUCUGGCCAUGACCUUGUGACCCUGCUUGGAGGUUGUAGUUACAGUUUCAGAAGUGAUCAAUUCCAGUGAGGAUGUCUGUACUAAGGUGAAAGCUCACGCUUCACGACGGGAAAAAUGGCUCCAUUCAGACUCUGGAGAUUCAGGUAUCCCACUGAGAAUCGUUGUCUCCUUCAUCAUUCACCUUAUUCCAGUCACCUGUCCUGCUCUGUGUGAUUUCUGUCCAUUCUCUCAGUCAUGCUUGUCUGAGGGGAUAGCCACAACUGAAGCCCUGUUGUUGACUUGUGCAGUAUCCUCACAGUCAGGGAAUGCUUCCCCAUUCCUGAGAGAUUUCAGCUGGCUUAAACAGCUCUGAAAACCACUAAACACUUUUACAAGAGUCAGCGGAAAUCCACUUGCAUCUAACCUGUAAGUAGUUGGUGAUAUCUCUAUCCUCACUGCACUGGAUUAAGAGAGGAUUGUAACUGGAAUACUGAGGUCAAAACAUAUACCAUUAGCAUCCAAGCAGCAUUACGCAUACUUCCAUCAGAAUGUGAAUCAGAUGACAGGGAUUAUACCUAGCACUUGGAGAACUGACAGAAACCCCAGGUUACUGUGUCAGGAAAGUUCCAGUGAAUGAAGUGCCAACCGAGCACUUACCAUUCGGGGGCAGUCUGUGGCUAAAACCCCACUCACUGAGAGAUGCUGGCCAAACAGAGACUAGUGUCUCGCCAUUGCAGGUGGUGCCACCAGGAAGGGUGGCUGAUGUUGGUACUGCAAUUAAUCCAAUGCUAUUAGUGAGUCAUGAACAAAUUGGGAGAGGUUUUCUGGCCAGGGAAUCAGGAGGUUGUAAGAAAAGGUAGUCAGGUGCUAUCUGUUUGCCGUCGCUACUAAUAUGGCAUGGCGGAUCAAUGGUUAGCACUGCUGCCUCACAGCUCCAGGGACCCAGGUUCAAUUCCAACCUCAGGAGACUGUCUGUGUGGAGUUUGCACAUUCUGUAUCUUUCUGCAUGGGUUUCCUCUGGGUGCUCCAGUUUCCUCCCACAGUCCAAAGAUGUGCAGGUUAGAUGGCUUGGCCAUGCUAAGUUGCCCAGAGUGUCCAGGUAUGUGUGGGUUAGGUGGGUUAUAGUGGAAUGGGUGUGGGUGGAAUGCUGCAAAGGUCAAUGUUGGGUCAAAGGGUCUGAUUGUACACUGUAGGGAUUCUAUAAUUAAGAGUUUUACUUCUCAAACUUUCUGUGUGAUAUUUGUUCAGCCUAAGUUAUUAAUUGCCCACUCAGGGGAGUAAAGACCAUUUACCAGCCUUCCCAAUCGAGACUGCAUCAGGGUAAAACUUGAAAGACAGUCAGGUCCGUACUUACACUCUCCAGCUCAAACCCCGCAUAAAGAGAGGGGUGUUAAAUUCUACCCGUCAUGUACAAAAUCCAGCACCUACGUGAUUGCCUGCAAAAAUGCCAUCCAUCACUGCCCACAACAGAAGAGUGAACCUGGCAGAAACGCAGAAUUGCUACAACGCAGAAGGAGGACAUUCAGCCCAUCAUACUUGCCAAGCUCUCUGAGCACUCUAAUUUAAGGCCAAUCUUCUACCUUUUUCCAAAAACCCUGCAUGUAUUUUUUUUUCUGUUUAAGUAACCAUCCCUCUUGCGUGCCUUCGCUGAAUCUGCCACCACCACAUUUCCAGGCAGUGGAUUCCAGGCCCAGAUCACUCAC